GACGACGCCGCGCAGCACCUGGAGGGAGGCGGCCGGGGGCGCGUUGUGCUCGUCCAGGCGGGUCCCGGCGGUC
rnacentral:tRNA from 1 species